rnacentral:rRNA from 1 species
GAUGAACGCUGGCGGCGUGCCUAAUACAUGCAAGUCGAGCGAACAGACGAGGAGCUUGCUCCUCUGACGUUAGCGGCGGACGGGUGAGUAACACGUGGAGAACCUACCUAUAAGACUGGGAUAACUUCGGGAAACCGGAGCUAAUACCGGAUAAUAUAUUGAACCGCAUGGUUCAAUAGUGAAAGACGGUUUUGCUGUCACUUAUAGAUGGAUCCGCGCCGCAUUAGCUAGUUGGUAAGGUAACGGCUUACCAAGGCAACGAUGCGUAGCCGACCUGAGAGGGUGAUCGGCCACACUGGAACUGAGACACGGUCCAGACUCCUACGGGAGGCAGCAGUAGGGAAUCUUGCGAAAUGGGCGAAAGCCUGACGGAGCAACGCCGCGUGAGUGAUGAAGGUCUUCGGAUCGUAAAACUCUGUUAUUAGGGAAGAACAAAUGUGUAAGUAACUAUGCACGUCUUGACGGUACCUAAUCAGAAAGCCACGGCUAACUACGUG